AGCCCCAUUUGCAGUAUAUUCAGCCUUGCCAGCCUUUUAAAAACAUAUGGUAAAGAUAUGGUAAAAGGCUGGUAAAGGAAAAGAAGAGCCAAGUAAGAAGAGAGACUGGUUUCAUGCUGUAGAAGACCUGGUUGCAGUAGUUUGUCCUGCACAUGGAAAGAUUGCCCAGAGGAGAAAAAAAAUGACCUGAGGAAAAAGGAGUCAGAGAAAGAGCAACUGGCUUAAGAAGCAAGAGGACCCUUUAUCAUCCAGCAAGCAAAAUUGAUGAUCCUCAGCAUAUACUGGCUAGCACACACAAUCAAGGAGGCUAUUACAAAUCUUGUAACAACCUUUACCCAUCUGCAAAAACUAACAUUUUUUAACAAUAUGUUGACUCAAAGCAGACAAGUUUGAUCUUAAUCCAGCAAUCAUUUUUUCCUCGCAUUUUUUUAUGCUUACCUUAACAUGCAGGUAUACAUUUUUUCUUUUAAAAUUUAUUUUUAAUUACUGCUCAAGCAUUUAUUAAUGUAAGGUAGCCUCCAUAAUAGUAUUAUGUACAGAUGUUCAGUUUAAAUACACAUUUUAUUCAUCAUUCUAGUGCAACAAAUUGCUAUAUGCUAUUAUAAUGAACAUGAUAAUGAACAUUUAUCCUGGGCUCAUGGGAGUUCGCCAUAGCAAGAUUAGAACAUAUAUAAAAAUGUAUCUUUCCCUCCCACUGUGGGUCAUUCUAGAGACACAACAGAAUCCACUUAACCCUCUCCAAGUUAUAAUGACCUCCAGAUGGAGCAUUUAAGGCAAAAACUGCAAAGCUGUAUAAUACCAUAUACAUUAUGCUGCCUUUCCAUUCUGGCCUCUGUAGAAAUAAUUUCAGAUUCCUAAGCUCAAAUGCCGUAACCACUCAGAAUUUAAUUUUGUUAAACUAUAAAUUUACCAUUUAAGAUUUAUAGCCUUCCAGUUGCAAUGCCAAAGUCUGCCUUUGCUUCUGCUUAUACAGAUUUAUUAGCAGUACGCAGCAGUAUUAAGUACCAAAUCACACCCAUGCCUAAAAAUAAGAAGUGCACAAAUGGUUGGGUUUUGCAGUAACAGCCUCAUGUUGCCAGGUGCUGAAGCUCAGACUUAACCAGUGACUUUAAUGGGAGCCGACUGUGUUCGGCAUCUCAUAGGAUCAAGUACUAUGCAUAAAUAGAAGCCAAAAUAGCUUGUGUAUACUUUACUGAUAUUUUUGGCAGUUACUACUGGGAUCAUAAAGGGGUUUGUACUGGAACCUCAACAAGUUUAGGAAAAGAAAUGUUGCCUUUCCUUAAAGCUUUUACUAAUACACCUGCAAGAUGUUUUUACGAACAGCAAAUGAUCUGGAAAACAGAAAACUAUGAAAUCUAAUCCUGUAAAAAUAUCUGGUUUAAAAAAGAAAACCACACUCACAGAAGUUUUUAACUCUGUCAAGUUAAGAUUUUCAGUUUCCUUAUGUACGUUAUGCUCCAGUUCUUGACUGCAUGUUUCUUUCCCUGUCAGACCCCUUGUAAUGGUAAAUGUGCAAUACAGAUAAUGCUUU